rnacentral:lncRNA from 1 species
CAAUUUUGGCCUCAGGAAUCCUGGAUGCUGGUGGAAGGAAUGUGACCAUAAGGUUGCUUUCUAAGACAAAACAUGAUAAAGUCACUGCAGUUGUUGGGCUUGCUGUUUUCAGCCAGUUUUGGUAUUGGUAUCCCCUUAUCUAUUUCAUUAGUCUGUCCUUCUCGCCCACUGCUUUUAUUGGACUGAACUACGACUUGAAAGUCCCAACGUUUGAGUUCUUAUCUCAUGCAAAACCUUCGCUGUUUGAGUACCCUCGACCAACCACCGUGCCCACUGCUACAUCUACUGUGAAACUUCCCACUGCGGUUUUAUCAACAUCAGCAAAGGCAAAAGCUAGGGCUAAAAAAGAGGCUGAACAGAAAGUUA